rnacentral:rRNA from 1 species
UACUCCUACGGGAGGCAGCAGUUGGGAAUAUUGCGCAUGCAUGGGCGCAAGCCUGAUGCAGCCAUGCCGCGUGUAUGAAGAAGGCCUUCGGGUUGUAAAGUACUUUCAGCGGGGAGGAAGGGAGUAAAGUUAAUACCUUUGCUCAUUGACGUUACCCUGCCAGAGAGACCGCCGGCUAACUCCGUGCCAGCAGCCGCGGUAAUA